AAAUAUUUAUGUUUUAUUUCAUCCCUCCCAAAUAACCACUUCCCCCUUUCCUAAAAAUUUCAAAUGAAAUCCCUACAAUUCAUCCCUCCCAAAUAACCACUUCCCCCUAAAACCCUAGACUACGUUCACCUCUUUUUCUUACUUCCCUAUGCAAUUUCAUUUACCUUUCCCUCUUAGUACUAUGGAUUCUAAACCCAAUCAACAUCAACGACUGUGUGCAAGGGCAGCAGUGGGUACCAAUUCACCGUGCUGCUCCAACAUUAGAAGCCGACCCAACAUUGCUUCGAUCGUCGGUCUGACAUGUUAAGUCCUCUCUCCCCAAAUUCCCCUUUUGAAGGUAUUUUUAUGCCAUUAACCAUCUACAUUUUUUUAUUUCUUGUUUUAUAUUUAAAAUGUGCAGGUUAAAAAACUUUUGUAAAUAGAUUAUAGUUUUGGUUUGCAUAUAUCAGGGAUUGAGAUUUAUGAUUCUGGUGGUGUUGUUGAAAUCUGAAAGGUUGAAGACGCACACCAACUGCUCGGUGAAAUGCUUCAACCAAUAUUAUUAUUAUUUAUGCAUCAUUUAAUGGUUAAAUGCUCUUUAUAUGCAGAUAGGAACUAUAUACUAAAUUUAUAUAACCAUGCCUUUUAAUGGAUGCUCAAACUAGAAGGUUUAUGGUAUCAAUGCUAAGGUUAUGUAGUAGCUUCUUUCAUGGCUUCAUCGUCAUGCGAGGAUUUUUUAGGGAUUCUUUGAGCUAUAAUUAAAUAAACAAAUGGUACCCCUUUGUCCAUAACACGAAUUGACCCUUCAGGUCUUGAGUGAAGCCAAGUUAGGUGUAUUUAUACAAGAUGUUGCUUUGAUGUCUUCUACUUUGUUCAAGAUUCACUAUCCCCUCUUGGUAUGGCACUUGUUGUUGGAUUGGUUGGUUAGGGCCUAUUUCAACGCAGAUUUCCUAUGGUACGUUGUGGCAAAUCUUGAAUUUCUUUUUAAGUAGAAAGUUGGCAUUUUUAGGUGCAAGACCAUAAAGCACAACCUAUUACACUUCCUUUCUUCUCUAUGCUAGAAACUAAUCGAAAGCUGUAUAUUAUUGGAGUUAGAUUCACACAAAGGGCUAUUGUUUAAAUAUGACCAGAUUCUAGACUUGAAUGCCCACCACUGAGUGCUCUCGACUUCGAUUGUUGAGCUGUCAAAGGCCUUAGAUCCAGAACCCGACCAAAUGUGAGUUGCUAUCUCCCUAUCACGCUCGCGAGGAAGUGACGGAUUCAUAUGGUAAUCAAACACAUGAAAGAGUUUAUCGACUCUAUACAACAUGAUUUGGUUAACCGACUUUGGAAUGAAGAAGGGUAUUUUGAAGAAUCUCAAAUUGAGAAUUUAGUGGUAGAUUUAAUGUCGAGAUUUAUUAAAAAGAUGUUUUGAUCUUGUAAGCAUUAGUUUUUAUUUCAUACUUUUGUAAUUCCGUAUACUUGAACGGGUUGUUGGGUUGUUUAAUACUAGUUAACUUUUGUCGUGA